UACGGGAGGCAGCAGGGAGGAAUAUUGCACAAUGGGCGCAAGCCUGAUGCAGCCAUGCCGCGUGUAUGAAGAAGGCCUUCGGGUUGUAAAGUACUUUUCAGUCGUGAGGAAGGUGUUAAGGUUAAUAACCUUAGCAAUUGACGUUAGCGACAGAAGAAGCACCGGCUAACUCCGUGCCAGCAGCCGCGGUAAUACGGAGGGUGCGAGCGUUAAUCGGAAUUACUGGGCGUAAAGGGCACGCAGGCGGUUAAUUAAGUUGGAUGUGAAAUCCCCGGGCUUAACCUGGGAAUGGCAUUCAAGACUGGUUAGCUAGAGUCUUGUAGAGGGGGUAGAAUUCCAUGUGUAGCGGUGAAAUGCGUAGAGAUGUGGAGGAAUACCGGUGGCGAAGGCGGCCCCUGGGACAAAGGACUGACGCUCAUGUGCGAAAGCGUGGGGAGCAACAGGGAUUAGAUACC
rnacentral:rRNA from 1 species